UACAGAGGGGGCAAGCGUUGUUCGGAAUUACUGGGCGUAAAGGGCGCGUAGGCGGCCUGUUAAGUCGGACGUGAAAUCCCCGGGCUCAACCCGGGAACUGCAUCCGAUACUGGCAGGCUUGAAUUCGGGAGAGGGAUGUGGAAUUCCAGGUGUAGCGGUGAAAUGCGUAGAUAUCUGGAGGAACACCGGUGGCGAAGGCGGCAUCCUGGACCGACAUUGACGCUGAGGCGCGAAAGCCAGGGGAGCAAACGGG
rnacentral:rRNA from 1 species